rnacentral:tRNA from 1 species
CCCCAGAUAGCUCAGUUGGUAGAGCAUCAGACUUUCAAUCUGAGAGUCCAGGGUUCAAGUACCUAUUUGAGCG